AGACCCGAAACCCGGUGAUCUAGCCAUGGGCAGGUUGAAGGUUGGGUAACACUAACUGGAGGACCGAACCGACUAAUGUUGAAAAAUUAGCGGAUGACCUGUGGCUGGGGGUGAAAGGCCAAUCAAACCGGGAGAUAGCUGGUUCUCCCCGAAAGCUAUUUAGGUAGCGCCUCGUGAAUUCAUCUCCGGGGGUAGAGCACUGUUUCGGCUAGGGGGCCAUCCCGGCUUACCAACCCGAUGCAAACUGCGAAUACCGGAGAAUGUUAUCACGGGAGACACACGGCGGGUGCUAACGUCCGUCGUGAAGAGGGAAACAACCCAGACCGCCAGCUAAGGUCCCAAAGUCAUGGUUAAGUGGGAAACGAUGUGGGAAGGCCCAGACAGCCAGGAUGUUGGCUUAGAAGCAGCCAUCAUUUAAAGAAAGCGUAA
rnacentral:rRNA from 3 species